CUGGUUCAGAAUAAACGCUAGUAGUAUGCUUUACACAUGCAAGUCGAAUGAUUACAUGGCGAACGGGUGAGUAAUAUGUAAGAAACUACCUUUUAGUUUGGGAUAAUUGUAGAGAUUUUUCUUUUACUUCGGGCAAAAAUACCAUAAAAGAUUUUUCGCUAAAAGAUGUUUCUACACGGUAUUAGGUUGUUGGUAAACAGACUACCAAGCUUUUGAUGCCUAGCGGGCCUUAACGGGUGUACCGCCACACAGGGACUGAGACAAGGCCCUGACUUAUUUUGAGGCAGCAGUGAGGAAUAUUGGCCAAUGAACUAAAGUUUGAGCCAGCAAUACUACGUAAGUGAAGACGGUCAUUUUGACUGUAAAACUUUUUCGUCAAAGAAGAUAAAGACGUUAUUUGAGAAAGAAGCCCCGGCUAACUCUGUGCCAGCAGCCGCGGUAAUACAGGGGGGGCAAGUGUUAUUCAUAGUUAUUAGGCGUAAAGGGUUCGUAGGUUUUUUUUUUAGUUUCGCUUAAAAUUCCUAAGCACAACUUAGGGUAUAGGCUUAAUACUAGUAAAAUAGAGUCUAACAUAGGUCAGUAGAAUUCCUAAUGUAGAGAUAAAAUGUUGUAAUAUUAGGAGGAAUGCCAACGGUGAAAACGGCUGUCUAGGUUAGUACUGACAUUGAGGGACGAAAGCGUAGGUAGCAAAUGGGAUUAGAUACCCCAGUAGUCUACGCCUCAAACGAUGAAUGUUAAAUAUGGGGUUUUCUAUAUUAAAGCUAACGCGUUAAACAUUCCGCCUGAGAAGUACGGCCGCAAGGUUAAAACUCAAAGGAAUUGACGGGAGUUCGGACCAGCGGUGGAGCAUGUGGUUUAAUCCGAUAAUACGCGAGAAACCUUACCAAUUCUUGAAAUCUUUUAGGUUCAUAUAUCUUUAAAAAGAUAAAAAAAAACAGGUGUUGCAUGGCUGUCGUCAGCUCGUGUCGUGAGAUGUUUUGGUUAACUCCUUAAUAACGAGCGAAACCCUUAUCUUUAUUUACUUCAUAAAAGGGAGGCUCUUUUGUAUUUUAUAAAGACACUGCCGGUGAAAUCCGGAGGAAGGGGAGGAUCACGUCAAGUCUUCAUGGCCCUUAUGGAUUGGGCUACACAU
rnacentral:rRNA from 1 species